rnacentral:rRNA from 1 species
AGCGAACGCUGGCGGCAGGCUUAACACAUGCAAGUCGAGCGGGCGUAGCAAUACGUCAGCGGCAGACGGGUGAGUAACGCGUGGGAACAUACCUUUUGGUUCGGAACAACACAGGGAAACUUGUGCUAAUACCGGAUAAGCCCUUACGGGGAAAGAUUUAUCGCCGAAAGAUUGGCCCGCGUCUGAUUAGCUAGUUGGUAGGGUAAUGGCCUACCAAGGCGACGAUCAGUAGCUGGUCUGAGAGGAUGAUCAGCCACAUUGGGACUGAGACACGGCCCAAACUCCUACGGGAGGCAGCAGUGGGGAAUAUUGGACAAUGGGGGCAACCCUGAUCCAGCCAUGCCGCGUGAGUGAUGAAGGCCCUAGGGUUGUAAAGCUCUUUUGUGCGGGAAGAUAAUGACGGUACCGCAAGAAUAAGCCCCGGCUAACUUCGUGCCAGCAGCCGCGGUAAUACGAAGGGGGCUAGCGUUGCUCGGAAUCACUGGGCGUAAAGGGUGCGUAGGCGGGUCUUUAAGUCAGGGGUGAAAUCCUGGAGCUCAACUCCAGAACUGCCUUUGAUACUGAAGAUCUUGAGUUCGGGAGAGGUGAGUGGAACUGCGAGUGUAGAGGUGAAAUUCGUAGAUAUUCGCAAGAACACCAGUGGCGAAGGCGGCUCACUGGCCCGAUACUGACGCUCAGGCACGAAAGCGUGGGGAGCA